GUUUUGCCUCUAGCAGCUAAUUUAACGCACAAUGAUUUUUUGGUGAAGUUAUGUUCACGAACGGAUGAUCACAUUCGCACGAAUGAAUGAACACGUUAGCAUGAGGCGUGGGGAACGUAUUCAUGACAGGUUAUGAAUGAAAAUAUCAUGAGUGGAAAGCUUUUUCACGUAUGACUUAAGAUUGCAUCACCGGCGGUGGUGGGCGCACGUGCAUAAAACACGAAUGCGAGCUUCGGCUUAAAGAUUGGCAACGUAUUAUUAUUAUUUAAAGUAUUUAUAAUGACAUAUUCCAAGUAUUCCGAAAAAACUAUUUAGGACAGAGGAUAAAAUAUCGUGUUGAUAAAAAGAAUAAUACUACUACGGGAUUGUUCUGUAUUCCUUUACAGCGACGCUUUGCAUUAAAGCUAGGCGGAUUAAUUAUCAUAGCGUGAUAUCCGAAGCAAAUUCACUAUGACGCGCGCCUUUUCGAGAAGAACGACGUGCAUCAUUCUAGCGAUGUUUCUUUUGUUGACGUUACUUUGUACGUUGACGUCAGCCCAACACUUGUGCCGAAGCGUCGGCUGGCUGGGUUGCAUAGACGUAGGAUGCAGUAACGGGGGUCGAGGGUACUGCAAAAACUUCGGGGAUCGCCCGCACAACGACUGUAAAUGCGUUAUGUACUGGUGACGUCGGUCACGUUUAGUCAUGUCACGUUGAGAUUGGCGAAGAAGUAUGUUUGGGUGACGUCAUGAUUUUAACUCAGGUUGUCAUUUUGUGUUUUCUUGUGACGCCAUCAUAAAAUGCUGAUGGAACAUAUUUAAGAUAAGUCAUUUGAAAGUUCUGAUUAAAUAUGCUCUAGUGACGCCAUACAGACGUUUUGCCCAAAAAGUCAGUGAAGUCAAAUGAAAGCGCUCACGAAUCAUAUUCAAGUGACAUCCAGCUUUUCAAAUACAUGUUGUUCUGAUAGCAGUGGUGAAAUCUAGCCAUUGGAUGCCAAAGGAGUCUCGCUUGCCUGAUACGUUUUGAAUAGAGAAAUUGUAAAAACCACACACGGUUUUUCUCUUUAAAAAAUACACUUGUGAAGUGUAAGUGAUAAUAUAUAUUAUUAUUUAAUGUUUUGAAUGUUGUUGCUUGACAGAAGGGGAGAAAGCUAGAUUAUAAGAUGGCAGCUAGGGUUGUAUUUAUCUACUGUUUCAAAUGUUCUCAAAGGUCUUUGGUUGGUUAAGGUUUUUGUGUAAUGUAUAUCAUGUUUGUAAAUCUGAUUAUUUAUAAUUUAUUGUCAUUCUAUCAUCAUAUUGUUGUCAAUCGAUCAUCACAUUAUAGAAACAAACAUUAAAACAUGCUCUAAUGUUU